GAGGCGAUGAGGUAAUUGUAGCGAUGACCGAUGGGUCCUCGCGCGCCUCCCAGGGUCCCUGUACCUAGUUGGAGGGGACAGAACAACAGCGGGGUGCAAGUCAGGCACCUUGGAGGACUCUCUGGCUCCGAGCCAGUGAAGUAGCCCAUGGGAAGGGGAGGGGAGGACUGCCAGUGCUGAUUUCCUAGGUGCAGAGAAGCGUGCAAGAGGGCCGACUGCGUCGUCCCGAGCAGCCACUCUCACUCGGUUUGGCUUCGGCGUUCCAGGACCCAGACCACCGGGCGGCGGGGAAUGCCUCUGCUUGCAACUCUAGAAAGUUUUAAGGGUGCCCCCCAACCAACUGCACGUGCACCCUUACCUUUCCUGCCUGGAAAGUCGGUGACCUCCCUGCCCUCUUUUCUCUUCCUGCAGGUCCCGAAAUCGGCUGUGAGUGUGGAACUACCCAGCUGUAGCCCUGGUAGACUACCCGCGUACUCCUCUCGCAGCUAAUUCGGGAUCAUUAAUUUAAUCGGAAAUGAGGUGAUACACUCGGAGGAAGAAGAGGCACAUCAUGCUAAAUGGAGCUUGGUGUGGUGUUCCCCUUGCUGCAGAUAAUUCUGGAAGAGCAGUGGGUGUCUCGGCAGCAUUUGACCUCCUUCAGGUGCUUAGAACCAAGUGUCUGGAAACAUAAUCCUUCCAAGUAGCAUCCACUUUUGAAGGUUGCAACUAUCAAAUAUAUAUUACAGUAUUACAUCUUGCAUCUGCAGUGUCUUCAGAACAGCAGCAGCAACUGGGAGCUGUUGAGACAACCAGAAUGAGCAUUCCACCCCAGACCCACGGAAUCAGAGUCUCCCUUUGAACCAGCCCCUGGGUGAUUCCUAAGCACAGUGGUGUGAAGAAUGCUGUCCCUUCUACAAGGGCUCUGUCUGCAUGAAUUUGGCCACUGACACAAACCUUAAUUCUUCUAUUUAUUCAUUUUUUAUUUCCUCCCUCUUUUAUUAAUUUUUAAUGAAAAAUUGUUACAUGUUAUGCUUUGAUUAAAUCAUACUGCAUUUCAGAAGAGCUGUGAUUUAUGCACAAAUCUGCAACAUCAUCACCAAGAGAACACUCUGAGGAAUGCACUGGGCCUUGAACAGAAAGGCUUCCCUCAUGGCAGCAGAGGGAGCACAAGAGCACUUUCAUGAACCAAGUGCACAGGCGG